CCUACGGGGUGCAGCAGUGAGGAAUAUUGGUCAAUGGCCGGAAGGCUGAACCAGCCAUGCCGCGUGAAGGUCAGUGCCCUAUGGGCGUUAAACUUCUUUUGUGCGGGAGCAAUAAUGGUCACGUGUGGCCAGACGAGAGUACCGUACGAAUAAGCAUCGGCUAACUCCGUGCCAGCAGCCGCGGUAAUACGGGGGAUGCAAGCGUUAUCCGGAUUCAUUGGGUUUAAAGGGUGCGCAGGCGGGCCUUUAAGCCGGCGGUGAAAUCGCGGGGCUCAACCCCGCCGAGCCGUCGGAACUGGGGGCCUUGAGUGCGGCGGAGGCAUGCGGAAUGCGCGGUGUAGCGGUGAAAUGCAUAGAUAUCGCGCAGAACCCCGAUUGCGAAGGCAGCUUACUAAACUGCCACUGACAUUGAUGCUCGAAAGUGUGGGUAUCAAACAGGAUUAGAUACCCCAGUAGUC
rnacentral:rRNA from 1 species